rnacentral:rRNA from 1 species
UACGGAGGGUGCAAGCGUUAAUCGGAAUUACUGGGCGUAAAGCGCACGCAGGUGGCUGAGUCAGUCGAUUGUGAAAGCCCUGGGCUUAACCUGGGAAUUGCAGUCGAUACUACUCAGCUAGAGUAUGGGAGAGGGUAGUGGGAAUUCCCGGUGUAGCGGUGAAAUGCGUAGAUAUCGGGAGGAACAUCAGUGGCGAAGGCGGCUACCUGGCCCAAUACUGACACUCAGGUGCGACAGCGUGGGAGCAACAGG